rnacentral:rRNA from 1 species
CGAGGAAAGAAUUUCGCUUGGGGAGGGACUCGCGGCCUAUCAGCUUGUUGGUGGGGUAAUGGCCUACCAAGGCUUCGACGGGUAGCUGGUCUGAGAGGACGACCAGCCACACUGGGACUGAGACACGGCCCAGACUCCUACGGGAGGCAGCAGUGGGGAAUCUUGCGCAAUGGGCGAAAGCCUGACGCAGCAACGCCGCGUGGGGGAUGAAGGCUCUCGGGUCGUAAACCCCUUUCAGUGGGAACGAAAAUGACGGUACCCACAGAAGAAGGACCGGCCAACUACGUCCAGCAGCCGCGGUAACACGUAGGGUCCGAGCGUUGUCCGGAUUUAUUGGGCGUAAAGGGCCCGUAGGCGGCUUGAUAAGUCGGGUGUGAAAACUCCAGGCUCAACCUGGAGACGCCACCCGAUACU